CCUACGGGUGGCUGCAGCGACGAAUCUUCCGCAAUGGGCGCAAGCCUGACGGAGCAAUGCCGCGUGCGGGAUGAAGUCCUUCGGGAUGUAAACCGCUGUCAGGGUUUAACAACACAAUGAGUAAACCCAAAGGAAGGGCCGGCUAACUCUGUGCCAGCAGCCGCGGUAAUACAGAGGGCCCGAGCGCUACGCGGAUUCACUGGGCUUAAAGGGUGCGUAGGCGGAGGCGUAAGUGCCUCGUGAAAUCCCACGGCUCAACCGUGGAAUUGCGGGGCAUACUGCGUCUCUUGAGGCUGGUAGGCGCUGCCGGAACUGUAGGUGUAGCGGUGAAAUGCGUAGAUAUCUACAGGAACGCCGAUGGUGAAGACGGGCAGCUGGGCCAGUUCUGACGCUGAGGCACGAAAGCGUGGGGAUCAAACAGGAUUAGAUACCCUAGUAGU
rnacentral:rRNA from 1 species